rnacentral:rRNA from 1 species
AGAGUUUGAUCAUGGCUCAGGAUGAACGCUAGCUACAGGCUUAACACAUGCAAGUCGAGGGGCAGCAUGUUGGUUGCUUGCAACCAAUGAUGGCGACCGGCGCACGGGUGAGUAACGCGUAUCCAACCUACCCUUGUCCAUCGGAUAACCCGUCGAAAGGCGGCCUAACACGAUAUGCGGUUCUCAGCAGGCAUCUAACGAGAACGAAAUGUGAAGGAGAAGGAUGGGGAUGCGUCUGAUUAGCUUGUUGGCGGGGUAACGCCACAAGGCGACGAUCAGUAGGGGUUCUGAGAGGAAGUCCCCCANAUUGGAACUGAGACACGGUCCAAACUCCGUACGGGAGGCA